ensembl:lncRNA
AUGCACAAUAACUUAACAGCCACCCCUCAGGCGCAGCACAAGAUGCAGGGUGGAUUCCUUCUGGAUGUUGUAGUCGGACAGGGUGCGACCAUCUUCCAGCUGCUUGCCAGCAAAGAUCAGCCUCUGCUGAUCAGGGGGAAUGCCUUCCUUGUCCUGGAUCUUGGCCUUCACAUUCUCAAUGGUGUCACUGGGUUCAACCUCAAGGGUGAUGGUCUUGCCAGUCAGGGUCUUCACAAAGAUCUGCAUGCCACCCCUCAGGCGCAGCACAAGAUGGAGAGUGGAUUCCUUCUGGAUGUUGUAGUCGGACAAGGUGCGUCCAUCUUCCAGCUGCUUGCCAGCAAAGAUCAGCCUCUGCUGAUCGGGGGGAAUGCCUUCCUUGUCCUGGAUCUUGGCCUUCACAUUCUCAAUGGUGUCACUGGGUUCAACCUCAAGGGUGAUGGUCUUGCCAGUCAGGGUCUUCACAAAGAUCUGCAUGCCACCCCUCAGGCGCAGCACAAGAUGCAGGGUGGAUUCCUUCUGGAUGUUGUAGUCGGACAGGGUGCGACCAUCUUCCAGCUGCUUGCCAGCAAAGAUCAGCCUCUGCUGAUCGGGGGGGAAUGCCUUCCUUGUCCUGGAUCUUGGCCUUCACAUUCUCAAUGGUGUCACUGGGUUCAACCUCAAGGGUGAUGGUCUUGCCAGUCAGGGUCUUCACAAAGAUCUGCAUGCCACCCCUCAGGCGCAACACAAGAUGGAGAGUGGAUUCCUUCUGGAUGUUGUAGUCGGACAGGGUGCGUCCAUCUUCCAGCUGCUUGCCAGCAAAGAUCAGCCUCUGCUGAUCAGGGGGAAUGCCUUCCUUGUCCUGGAUCUUGGCCUUGACAUUCUCAAUGGUGUCACUGGGUUCAACCUCAAGGGUGAUGGUCUUGCCAGUCAGGGUCUUCACAAAGAUCUGCAUUUUGAACUGCAAAACAUAUGAAAGUUUCAGCUUUAGCUACUCAGUGAAGUACAGUCUUUAACAAUUUCUAAAUAAAUGGAUUACUACUGCUAUUUCACACUGUAUAAAUACCAGUUAAGAUUUUUACUUAGUGUUUUUUUAAAUUAACAUUUUCUACAACCAUUCCCCAACUUUUUGUUCUUGACUAACUAAACCUCUUUUGGAACCUCGGUAUGCUACGUUCCUGUAAUAGAUUCCUUACAUUGCUUCUCACCAGUCGGCUCCUAGACCCUCCCUUGCCCCCCCCCCCCCCCAAUCCCCACUGCAGCAAUGCGGCAGUGGGACACACUGCUGCAGCCUCCCGCACAGCUGCUGCGGAACCUCCCGGUGGCGAACUGCGACAACAGCACACCGUGCUGCUCCCCCCGGGCAGUGACUCAGCAACCUGCUUCCGGGCAAGACAAACACAGCCUCCGCCAUUUUCACCCUAACGCUACCUCCUUCUCCUAAGAUAAUAGUUUUACUUGUUGGUUUUUUUUUUUUUCCCAUCUUACCCCACCCCAGUUCUCAGCGACACAGUUCAGAGUAAAACGAGACUCCGCGCAAUUCCCCCACCCCAAACAUAAAAAUACUGCCCGACAAGCACCCACCCCUGCCUUAUAUCUCCCCACGUAGAAAAAUCACCCUGUUUUUCCCUUUCCAACCCCACAAACUCUCCCCCCAGUCAACUCACGUCUCCGGCCCUGAACGCUGCACACCAAAAAAACGAACGCUCUGUCCCGCCGCAGCUGUACUCUACUGCGUGACGCAGUCCCACCAGCAUUUAUGUGGUUCCUGCCAGACAAGCCCCGCCCUCGUAAACUAAGAUGUCCAUCCGCCUCCCAAAGUAGUCCCAAGUAAAAAAACCAGUGUUAUGAAAAAUACUCGCCUUUCUCCUCUCCGAUCUCUGUUCCAGGGGGAAAAGGGUCCUGCAGUCUUAGUGUGGGACCUCAGACCCUUAAAAAUCCAGAAAUUUCUGAGGGUGCGGAUGGAUCCGGAGCCGCGGUGAAGCGGCUAGUAGCUAGAACGGGAAGUUGGACAUUGAUUGGUGCCGCAGUAAGAAGAGUGGGUGUUGAUUGGUUGAUGCGGGGGGAAGCUAGAGAAGGGCGAGGGGGGGCGGCUGUGAGGAAAGCUCUGGAAGAUUCGGGUGCUGCUUAGCGCUGAUUGGUGCGCGGUGAGGUCAGCGCUGUUGCUAGGGGGGAGCCGCCUUGCGGAGGCAGAUUUCGGCGGGGAGGGGGUUGUGCGCAUGCGGGUUAGCGCUGCGGCGCUGGCCGGCGGGGCGAGAGCGGGAGGGGGGUGCUGAGGGGGAAGCGGCCGGAGCCCUCCCGUCAGGGAUGGGCUGGCACUGGGGCGCUUCUUUUAGCCCCUGUCUCAGCCCCAGGCAAGGCUUAGGGAGGAGCCUGGCACGGACUGGGGGAGAAGUGGCCUGGAGAAAGAGGGGUUACCCUCGGUGCCAGCUUUUUGUUGACCCACAGAGCUACCAGUGCAUCUGACUGACCCCCUUCCCCGGGGUGGCAUGGAGCAUUUAUGGCAGGGCCUGGAGUAGUCUGUAGGACUGGUCCUGUCAUAUGUGGCUGUGAGGAAAAGCCAGGAAGAGCAGA